rnacentral:rRNA from 1 species
AGUGAACGCUGGCGGCAGGCCUAACACAUGCAAGUCGAACGGCAGCACAAGAGAGCUUGCUCUCUGGGUGGCGAGUGGCGGACGGGUGAGGAAUGCAUCGGAAUCUGCCCAUUUGUGGGGGAUAACCUCGGGAAACCGGGACUAAUACCGCAUACGACCUACGGGUGAAAGCAGGGGAUCUUCGGACCUUGCGCAGAUGGAUGAGCCGAUGCCGGAUUAGCGAGUUGGAGGGGUAAAGGCCCACCAAGGCGACGAUCCGUAGCUGGUCUGAGAGGAUGAUCAGCCACACUGGGACUGAGACACGGCCCAGACUCCUACGGGAGGCAGCAGUGGGGAAUAUUGGACAAUGGGCGCAAGCCUGAUCCAGCCAUGCCGCGUGUGUGAAGAAGGCCUUCGGGUUGUAAAGCACUUUUGUUGGGAAAGAAAAGCAGCCGGUUAAUACCCGGUUGUCAUGACGGUACCCAAAGAAUAAGCACCGGCUAACUUCGUG